AGUUAGUGCUGGGAAACAGUGCUAAGAAGGAUACAGUGGCUAGAAGUCGUCCUGUCGUCCUGCCUCACAGUAACAUCGUUACCGAAUUCUCAGCAGGUGAACCAAAUGAAAUGGUCAACUGAAAGCCAACCAGGGGUCUUGUCCUGUCACUCUGGCUGGAAUACAAUGGCGUAAUCAUAGCUCACUGCGGCCUCCAUCUCCUGGGUUCAAGUGAUUCUCCUGCUUCAGCUUCCCAAGUAUCUGGGACUACAGCAAAAAAUCACCAUGUACCAACCUAUCCAAACUUAUCCAUGGAUGAAUCUAUCCAGAAGACGGGAGUUCCGAUGCUUGUCUUGCUCUGAAUGUCUGCUUGUCACCUGCUUAGGGUUAUCGACUGUGAUUCUGGGACUCAUUGUUGUUCUACAGGACCCCUCUGACUCUGUGGUUUUCUCUACUGGAUUAACAAUGAUAGCCAUAGGUGCUUUUUUUGUUGUCCUCACUGGAGUGACAGCCCUGUGUACGGUUACAGUCGACGAGAACUUGCAGAAAACCACGAGGCUAAGACUAGGAGUGAUACGAAAAAGCGGAAGUCUCCAAGGAACUACAGAGCCUUCCAUGACUCACUCAAUAAUCGCUAGCACCUCGCUGUAGUUGUACAUUGAACCCUGGCAUCUUCGUCUUUGGAACUAAGUCUCCUGAGCAUUGUUUUUAAAUAGAAAUAAAAUCUGGCUUUUAAAAAAA
rnacentral:lncRNA from 1 species